rnacentral:rRNA from 1 species
UACGAAGGGGGCUAGCGUUGCUCGGAAUGACUGGGCGUAAAGGGCGCGUAGGCGGCGAUCACAGUCAGAUGUGAAAUUCCUGGGCUUAACCUGGGGGCUGCAUUUGAUACGUGGUUGCUUGAGUGGGGAAGAGGGUCGUGGAAUUCCCAGUGUAGAGGUGAAAUUCGUAGAUAUUCGCAAGAACACCAGUGGCGAAGGCGGCUCACUGGCCCGAUACUGACGCUGAGGCACGAAAGCGUGGGGAGCAAACAGGG